AACGAACGCUGGCAGCGUGCCUAACACAUGCAAGUCGAGGGAGAAAAGGGACUUCGGUUCCUGAGUAAACCGGCGCACGGGUGAGUAACACGUAGGUAACGUACCCUUGAGUCUGGGAUAACCAGUCGAAAGACUGGCUAAUACCAGAUACGACUGCGGAGACCCAGGUUUCUGCAGUGAAAGAUGGCCUCUGCUUGCACGCUAUCACUCGUGGAUCGGCCUGCGCACCAUUAGCUAGUUGGUGAGGUAACGGCUCACCAAGGCUGAGAUGGUUAGCUGGUCUGAGAGGAUGGCCAGCCACACUGGGACUGAGACACGGCCCAGACUCCUACGGGAGGCAGCAGUGGGGAAUAUUGCGCAAUGGGCGAAAGCCUGACGCAGCGACGCCGCGUGGGUGAUGAAGGCC
rnacentral:rRNA from 1 species